ACUAGUGUGGUUUAUUUUAUAUAAUGAAAAGCGGGAAAACAAAGAGAGGAGGGGGGCAUGGACCUGACCUCCAGCGAAUGUAAAUUGUAACAAAUAUCUGAAGAUAAAAUGCAAUCACAGUAAACAAGAUACGAACAAAAACAAAUGAAAGGUACUUAAGGGUAUUCCCGAGGGUAAAUCUUCGGGUGGUAGUACAUAGACAUUGAUCGGGUCAUGCGUCUGGUUUGAAACAUUUCCGGAUCAUAG
rnacentral:lncRNA from 1 species